rnacentral:rRNA from 1 species
CUACGGGAGGUUGCAGUGAGGAAUAUUGCACAAUGGGGGGAACCCUGAUGCAGCAACGCCGCGUGGAGGAUGACGCAUUUCGGUGUGUAAACUCCUUUUAUAUGUCAAGAAAAUGACGGUAGCAUAUGAAUAAGCACCGGCUAACUCCGUGCCAGCAGCCGCGGUAAUACGGAGGGUGCAAGCGUUACUCGGAAUCACUGGGCGUAAAGGACGCGUAGGCGGGUUGGAAAGUCAGGUGUGAAAUCCUACAGCUUAACUGUAGAACUGCACUUGAAACUUCUAAUCUAGAGUAUGGGAGGGGGAGAUGGAAUUAGUGGUGUAGGGGUAAUAUCCGUAGAUAUCACUAGGAAUACCUAAAGCGAAGGCGAUCUCCUGGAACAUUACUGACGCUAAGGCGUGAAAGCGUGGGGAGCAAACAGGAUUAGAUACCCCCGUAGUC